GCACCCUUCAUCUAGCUGGUUAGGAUGUUGCUCUUUCACAGCAAAAACAAGGGUUCGAAUCCCUUAGGGUGUA
rnacentral:tRNA from 1 species